UGGGGAAUAUUGCACAAUGGGGGAAACCCUGAUGCAGCGACGCCGCGUGAGCGAAGAAGGUUUUCGAAUCGUAAAGCUCUGUCCUAUGAGAAGAUAAUGACGGUAUCAUAGGAGGAAGCCCCGGCUAAAUACGUGCCAGCAGCCGCGGUAAUACGUAUGGGGCGAGCGUUGUCCGGAAUUAUUGGGCGUAAAGGGUACGUAGGCGGUCUGUUAAGUCAGGUGUGAAAGCGUGAGGCUUAACCUCAUUAAGCACUUGAAACUGAUAGACUUGAGUGAAGGAGAGGAAAGUGGAAUUCCUGGUGUAGCGGUGAAAUGCGUAGAUAUUAGGAGGAAUACCGGUGGCGAAGGCGACUUUCUGGACUUUUACUGACGCUCAGGUACGAAAGCGUGGGGAGCAAACAGG
rnacentral:rRNA from 1 species